GGUUGAUCCUGCCAGUAGUCAUAUGCUUGUCCCAAAGAUUAAGCCAUGCAUGUCUAAGUAUAAACAAUUUUUUACAGUGAAACUGCGAAUGGCUCAUUAUAUCAGUUAUAAUUUAUUUGAUAGUCUCUUUACUACUCGGAUAACCGUGGUAAUUCUAGAGCUAAUACGUGCUUAUAGCCUGACUGCUUGCGGAAGGGCUGCAUUUAUUAGAUAAAAAACCAAUGCCAGCAAUGGCCACUGGUGAUUCAUAAUAACUGUGCGGAUCGUAUGGCCUUGCGCCGACGACGUUUCAU
rnacentral:rRNA from 1 species